rnacentral:lncRNA from 13 species
AUGCAGCAUGUUGGGGAAUCUGACACUGGAGCCAUUCUCCUCCACUCCAGGCAAUUCCAGGCAAGGGAAGGCAAGGCAAGACAAAACAAUUCCAGGCAAGGCAAUGCCAGGCAAGACAGUCCCAGACAAGGCAAGGCAACACAGGCAAGAGAAGGCAAUGCCAGGCAAGGCAAGGCAAGGCCAGGCCAGGCCAGGCCGGGCAGGGCAGGGCAGGGCAGGGCAGGGCAGGGCAGGGCAGGGCAGAGCAGGGCAGGGCAGGGCAGGGCAGGGCAGGGCAAGGCAAGGCAAGGCAAGGCAAGGCAAGGCAAGGCAAGGCAAUUCCAGGUAAGGCAAGACAAUUCCAGGCAAGGCAAGGCAAAAAAUUCCAGGCAAGGCAAGGCAAGGCCAAUCCAGGCAAGUCAAUAUCAGGCAAGGCAAGGCAAUUCCAGGCAAGGCAAGACAAGGCAGAGAAAGGGAAUUCCACACAAGGCAAUUCCAGGUAAGGCAAGGGAAGGCAGUUCCAAGGAAGGCAAAUCCAGGCAAGGCCAGGCAAGGCAAUAUCAGGCAAGGCAAUUCCAGACAAGGCAAGGCAAUGCAGGGUAA